GUCUAUAAUUCAGGCUGGCUCACUGAGGGCAGAUCCUGCCAGGAGAACUAUUUCAGGGCUCUUUGCGGAGUUCUAACACCCUGAGCAUACAGUGAACCCACCUAAUGUUGUUGAGGACAACUUCUUGGUCGUCGUCCCCCAAAAAAAUUAGAACAUAGGACAGGUCCUGAAAAUCAGAACUAUACUGCUGAAAUCAGUUGGGCCUGCAUUUGUCUGGUAGGUUGGUAUAGAAAAUAUCCAUGGAAUUGGGAAAAGAAUAA